UACGGAGGGUGCGAGCGUUGUCCGGAAUUAUUGGGCGUAAAGAGCUCGUAGGCGGUCUGUCGCGUCGAAUGUGAAAACCCGGGGCUCAACCCCGGGCCUGCAUUCGAUACGGGCAGACUAGAGUUCGGUAGGGGAGUCUGGAAUUCCUGGUGUAGCGGUGAAAUGCGCAGAUAUCAGGAGGAACACCGGUGGCGAAGGCGGGACUCUGGGCCGAUACUGACGCUGAGGAGCGAAAGCGUGGGGAGCAAACAGG
rnacentral:rRNA from 1 species